rnacentral:ncRNA from 1 species
CAGACCGGUGGCCUCGCCCCCACAAGACUCGACGACGCGGCGGCUCACUCACACGGAUGAACCGUCUCGAUCACCCGGGCGAUGACCGAACUCCCGACCUAGGCUCGCGCCACAACAUCAAACAGGACGGCCCCCGGCCGGGACGGCAAUCCCGACCGAGGGCCUGACCAGCAAGGAAGGACCAUCUUCCUC